GCCCCGGUAAACGGCGGCCGUAACUAUAACGGUCCUAAGGUAGCGAAAUUCCUUGUCGGGUAAGUUCCGACCUGCACGAAUGGCGUAAUGAUGGCCAGGCUGUCUCCACCCGAGACUCAGUGAAAUUGAACUCGCUGUGAAGAUGCAGUGUACCCGCGGCAAGACGGAAAGACCCCGUGAACCUUUACUAUAGCUUGACACUGAACAUUGAGCCUUGAUGUGUAGGAUAGGUGGGAGGCUUUGAAGUGUGGACGCCAGUCUGCAUGGAGCCGACCUUGAAAUACCACCCUUUAAUGUUUGAUGUUCUAACGUUGGCCCGUAAUCCGGGUUGCGGACAGUGUCUGGUGGGUAGUUUGACUGGGGCGGUCUCCUCCUAAAGAGUAACGGAGGAGCACGAAGGUUGGCUAAUCCUGGUCGGACAUCAGGAGGUUAGUGCAAUGGCAUAAGCCAGCUUGACUGCGAGCGUGACGGCGCGAGCAGGUGCGAAAGCAGGUCAUAGUGAUCCGGUGGUUCUGAAUGGAAGGGCCAUCGCUCAACGGAUAAAAGGUACUCCGGGGAUAACAGGCUGAUACCGCCCAAGAGUUCAUAUCGACGGCGGUGUUUGGCACCUCGAUGUCGGCUCAUCACAUCCUGGGGCUGAAGUAGGUCCCAAGGGUAUGGCUGUUCGCCAUUUAAAGUGGUACGCGAGCUGGGUUUAGAACGUCGUGAGACAGUUCGGUCCCUAUCUGCCGUGG
rnacentral:rRNA from 1 species